GACGAACGCUGGCGGCGUGCCUAAUACAUGCAAGUAGAACGCUGAAGGAGGAGCUUGCUUCUCCGGAUGAGUUGCGAACGGGUGAGUAACGCGUAGGUAACCUGCCUGGUAGCGGGGGAUAACUAUUGGAAACGAUAGCUAAUACCGCAUAACAGUAGAUGUUGCAUGACAUUUGCUUAAAAGGUGCAAUUGCAUCACUACCAGAUGGACCUGCGUUGUAUUAGCUAGUUGGUGAGGUAACGGCUCACCAAGGCGACGAUACAUAGCCGACCUGAGAGGGUGAUCGGCCACACUGGGACUGAGACACGGUCCAGACUCCUACGGGAGGCAGCAGUGGGGAAUCUUCCGCAAUGGGCGAAAGCCUGACGGAGCAACGCCGCGUGAGUGAUGACGGCCUUCGGGUUGUAAAACUCUGUGAUCCGGGACGAAAAGGCAGAGUGCGAAGAACAAACUGCAUUGACGGUACCGGAAAAGCAAGCCACGGCUAACUACGUG
rnacentral:rRNA from 1 species